ACGGACGAGGCCCCUUCGGGGACCGAGUUAGUGGCGAAGGGUGAGUAACGCGUGAGGAACCUGCCUUUCAGUGGGGGACAACAGUUGGAAACGACUGCUAAUACCGCAUGAAGCAUUUAGGGGGCAUCCCCUGAAUGCCAAAGAUUUAUUGCUGAAAGAUGGCCUCGCGUCUGAUUAGCUAGUUGGAGGGGUAACGGCCCACCAAGGCGACGAUCAGUAGCCGGUCUGAGAGGAUGAACGGCCACAUUGGGACUGAGAUACGGCCCAGACUCCUACGGGAGGCAGCAGUGGGGAAUAUUGGGCAAUGGGGGAAACCCUGACCCAGCAACGCCGCGUGAAGGAAGAAGGCUUUCGGGUUGUAAACUUCUUUUACCAGGGACGAAGAAAGUGACGGUACCUGGAGAAAAAGCCACGGCUAACUACGUGCCAGCAGCCGCGGUAAUACGUAGGUGGCAAGCGUUGUCCGGAUUUACUGGGUGUAAAGGGCGUGUAGGCGGAGAUUCAAGUCAGGAGUGAAAACUAUGGGCUUAACCCAUAAACUGCUUUUGAAACUGAAUCCCUUGAGUAUCGGAGAGGCAGGCGGAAUUCCUAGUGUAGCGGUGAAAUGCGUAGAUAUUAGGAGGAACACCAGUGGCGAAGGCGGCCUGCUGGACGACAACUGACGCUGAGGCGCGAAA
rnacentral:rRNA from 1 species